GAUGAACGCUGGCGGCGUGCCUAAUACAUGCAAGUCGAGCGAACAGACGAGGAGCUUGCUCCUUUGACGUUAGCGGCGGACGGGUGAGUAACACGUGGGUAACCUACCUAUAAGACUGGGAUAACUUCGGGAAACCGGAGCUAAUACCGGAUAAUAUUUCGAACCGCAUGGUUCGAUAGUGAAAGAUGGCUUUGCUAUCACUUAUAGAUGGACCUGCGCCGUAUUAGCUAGUUGGUAAGGUAACGGCUUACCAAGGCAACGAUACGUAGCCGACCUGAGAGGGUGAGCGGCCACACUGGAACUGAGACACGGUCCAGACUCCUAAGGGAGGCAGCAGUAGGGAAUCUUCCGAAAAGGGCGAAAGCCUGAAGGAGCAACGCCGCGUGAGUGAUGAAGGUCUUCGGAUCGUAAAACUCUGUUAUUAGGGAAGAACAAACGUGUAAGUAACUGUGCACGUCUUGACGGUACCUAAUCAGAAAGCCACGGCUAACUACGUG
rnacentral:rRNA from 1 species